UCUGUGUUGUUGUUAGUUAUGGCUGAUGUCAGUCCCGCCUUUUGGCAUUUCGUUUUAUAACGGAGGUAGGGUCAAUUUUGGAUCAGCGUACCGCGUUAUGCCCGAUUUAGAAU
rnacentral:ribozyme from 1 species